AGCGGGGUGGGGCAGCCUGGAGUGCCCGUCGGGCUCAUAACCCGAAGGUCAAAGGUUCAAAUCCUUUCCCCGCUA
rnacentral:tRNA from 1 species